CUCGUAAGUUAGCUAGGUGAAUAACUGAAGAAAUUGAAACAACCCCCAUUCUUUCUUUCCCCAAUCCAUAACCCUAGCCCCUCAUUGCCGUCGCCGUUCCCAGCUCCUCAGCACCGCCGCCGUCCCAAGCUCCCCAGCGCCACCGCCGUCCCAAGCUCCUCAGCGUGGUCGCUUCUCCUCUUCCCUGUUUUGCAAAAUCCAGAAAGCUCAGCACAUCGUCUUCAUCUUCGUUGGCUUCUCUGUUCGUCGAAGGUUAGUGGCGUCCGCUCUUGGGGUACUGCGCUCGUUAAGAUCUCUCCUUACACCUUUUCCGCCGUCGGCAUCGGCGUCUCCAGCGGUGUCUCAGUUCUCGGUGUUGCUUGGGGGAUUUACGUGCUGCAAUCAAGGCUCCCUGAAUCACUUCCACGAAUCUCAUUAGGUCUUAUUUUUCUAUCCUCCGUAAAAAAGUGGCCUCUUAAAUGUAUGGAUCUUCUCUCUUAUUGCUUCCCUGGAAUAUUGGAGGAGGACAUGAUAUGAAGAAAAUAUGUUCUAUACAAAUAUGAGAUGGGAUGGGUCUUAUAAUGAUUUUGGUUAUCUAAAUGUAUUAUUUUGAUGUGUUCUUUACAUUUUGAUAAGAGACUUUAUCCGAUAUUACAUGUAAUGGAUAAAUGACACCCUAUUUUUAUUAGUGUUGUAAUGGAUAUCUACUUUUUAUUGAAACUUUUAUGAUUUACAUUUAUUGAA